GAAUGUGAGGGUAGCCAGGCUGAGACAUUGUCACCCUGUUGUUGCUAGUUCAUUUGGAUAAUGUGGCUGUCUACCUUCUCUUCCCAUGCUCCUUCCUGUGUAUCCCUUUUAGAACUGUACAGUCUGAGAAGAUGACUUUCUCUGAAACAGGAGGACCAUUCUUGACUCAAGGAUAUACAAAAAAGCUCUAGUCCCCUGAUGUACCUCCAAAUCAGCCCUCAAAUUCCAAAUCAGUCCAGAUUUUAAACCAAUUCUAUUAAAAACAAUUACCAUUGUUUAUGAGGUCAUU
rnacentral:snRNA from 1 species